GAUGAACGCUGGCGGCGUGCCUAAUACAUGCAAGUCGAGCGAACGGACGAGAAGCUUGCUUCUCUGAUGUUAGCGGCGGACGGGUGAGUAACACGUGGAUAACCUACCUAUAAGACUGGGAUAACUUCGGGAAACCGGAGCUAAUACCGGCUAAUAUUUUGAACCGCAUGGUUCAAAAGUGAAAGACGGUCUUGCUGUCACUUAUUGAUGGAUCCGCGCUGCAUUAGCUAGUUGGUAAGGUAACGGCUUACCAAGGCAACGAUGCAUAGCCGACCUGAGAGGGUGAUCGGCCGCACGGGGACGUAGACACGGACCAGACUCAUACGGGAGGGAGCAGUAGGGAAUCUUCCGCAAUGGGCAAAAGCCUGACGGAGCAACCCCGCGUGAGUGAUGAAGGUCUUCGGAACGUAAAACACUCUUAUUAGGGAAGAACAUAUGUGGAAGUACCUGUGCACAUCUUGACGGUACCUAAUCAGAAAGCCACGGCUAACUACGUG
rnacentral:rRNA from 1 species